CAGCCGCCGCGGUAAUACGUAGGGUGCGAGCGUUAAUCGGAUUUACUGGGCGUAAAGCGUGCGCAGGCGGCCCGUUAAGACAGGUGUGAAAUCCCUGGGCUCAACCUAGGAAUUGCGCUUGUGACUGGCGGGCUCGAGUACGGUAGAGGGGGGUGGAAUUCCUGGUGUAGCUGUGAAAUGCGUAGAGAUCAGGAGGAACACCGAUGGCGAAGGCAGCCCCCUGGGCCUGUACUGACGCUCAUGCACGAAAGCGUGGGGAGCAAACAGGAUUAGAUACCCUGGUAGUCCACGCCCUAAACGAUGGGUACUAGCCGUUUGGUGCGCGAUAGCGCUGAGUGGCGAAGCUAACGCGUGAAGUACCCCGCCUGGGGAGUACGGCCGCAAGGUUGAAACUUAAAGGAAUUGGCGGG
rnacentral:rRNA from 1 species